UCGCUUCAACGGGUCAUAGUCAACGAUUCAUCCUGCUACACCGCCAGAUCAUCAAGACCAACUACCUAUCAGAUCGUCCAGGCGGUGGAAAGAAUUAAGAACAGAAGAACCGUCCCAAAAGCUGCUUUGAAGAAAGAACUUCAAAGGGAUAUUCGGGAGAUGACAGAAGAGCAGCUCGACCUGGCAUUGCAGCAGGCGGAAGCUGACGGUUGGAUCGUCCGGCAGACAGAAGAGCGUUUAGGCGUAACAGCCUCCAGAACCCAAAACGACUCCCAAGUCUCUCUGGACGUGGCGACGCCGGGUUCCAGCAGGACCACGUCGCAGACGACGUCUGUCCCGAGUGGUGUCGCCAGGAUACAAGAAAGAAAAAGAUCCCAUCAGCAGCAGAAUCACCAGCGCUGAGGGACUGAAUUCUCUCAAUAGUUCAAAUUAACAUUGAAAAAAAAUAUAUAAUCAGAACAUUAUUGCCUGAAAUUUUUUUGAAGGUCCUUUUCAGGACCUACCACUUUUCCAGAGAUAUCGUCAAAUGAGCAUUCAAAAAAGAAAAAUUGAAAUUAGACAAAUAUAAUCAGAACAUUAUUGCCUGGAAUUUUUUUAAGGUCCUUUUCAGGACCAACUACUUUUCCAGAGAGUUUCGUCAGAAUGAGCAUUCGACACCAACGACCACGCUCUGCUCAUUCAUAGACUACACACCCUCUACGGGAUUUCCGGACCUGCACUAGCGUGGUUCAACUCCUGAUAGGAAGCAGACUGUGUUUAUUGAUGGUCCAACAUCUCUCUCUCUCUGCUUCAAUUUCUGUUUCACUUUUUUCUUUCCUCAAGCCUCAGUAUUCGGCCCAGUUCUGUUCAUUCUGUAUAUCUUGCAUCCAGUCUCACAACAUUUCUCGUCAAUCAUAUGCUGAUGAUACACAAAUGAUAGGCAUCACCUUUGCGUACUCCAUCAGGAAUCUGGUAUUCAUUGUCACUGCGGAUAUGAUUCUUGCUAAACAAGUUACGACUGUCUGUCAGUCUGUCUAUUAUGAACUGCACAAGAUCAGCGCCAUCGGUCACAUUAAUUCUGGUGGUCAUUUCUUUUAAAGUUUCUUAUACCGGUAUUAGUGAAAUUAGCUGACAUUGCUGGCUAAGGAGGGCGCGCGGACGUACCUUUGUUCGUCAGGGGGGCGUCACAAGUAAAAGGUUGCUUUAAUGUUAUUUUUUCCUCAUUUACUAACCAAUCACUUGUAAACAUCUCUAUGCUUAAGUAGUGAUGUAGAUCCUAGUGCACUUGUCCUAAUGCUUGUGACCAGUGGUGCUAAUGAUCAUUUUAGGCUACUGUGAGAAUUAACCUGUUUUCCAAAGAUGAUGUGCAAAAGUGGAAGAACAGCUUUCAGGAGUCUUCAAAAGUUACUUUGAGAAUCAAGUGAACAUACCCUUCUCUGUCAACUAAGAUCAUCUACAAGGUGAUGUACAGGUGUCAGCACUCCACUCAGCCUAGAUCAUCAACUGCUGAUGCUCGGAAAGGCUCAAAGAACACUGCCACAACAUGUCUGACACUUUAUCAGACUAACAUUUUUGAUUCUGAUGGCUUCAAAAGGAAAAGCAGGUCAUCUGACAGUCAUCUAGCAGAUUAUCCUGCCCUCGUACAAAUAAAUCACUGUCACAACCAUGCCAUCAUUGCAGCCUCAGCUAUCAAGCACAGAGAUGUGUCUGAAACAACAAAGUUACGUCUAGAACAGCUGAUGUUACAGGGCUAUGCACCAAGUGCUGCUUUAGAAAUGUAUAAAUAUGACCUACAGUUGGAACAUGGUGAUGAUUAUGUUUACAUCUCUGCUGACAGAGCUGUAAGUCCUGAUCGAGAUUAUGUAUACAGGUAAAUUUUUCUAUGAAUCUUUUUUGUCAGUUGAGGAAGUUUACACUAACAUCUAGACAAAAGUAGACGUAAAAAGUAUGUAACUCAAACUAAAGAUAUUAUAAAGGAGUAAAAAAAACAUUUUCACAUAAGGUGUAAGAAAAUCACAAGGCCGCGCAUGACCAUUGUCAAUAUCAUUGUGUAAUGUAUGUAAAGCCAAAGCUUUCUCCCUUUUUUCUUGUACUGAUUUAUAGUCUGUUCCAGCCAGCACAACUGAGACUUAUAUAUUGGAUUUUAAUAAAUGUUCUCAAAAACUCAUACACCUGAUUACCUUAAAAGGAAAAGGUAAAAAUACAAAUACAACAUGGUGGAUAAUUAACAUUACAUUUUACGUUAGAUGUGAAAUAAUAGUAGUUACAACAAACUAAAUUUUUAAGUACAAAAACAACAAUGACUCCCAGUGGAAGUCCUCCAGCACAACUGUGAAUCAACAAAAGAAACACCCUACAAUGGUUUCUGUCUAAAUUGCCAGUAGCAUCUAUGAAAACCAUUUCUCAGCUGUUUCAAAUAUUUAUGCACCCUGUGCAUCAGGGUGUGCAUAUUGAAACAACUACUUGCUCAUCCGGAGUGAUGUCCAUUAAUGUUUGAAACAUAUUACAGGAAUUUUUAUAAACCAGAAGAGAAAAUGAGGAAGUUGUUUAAGUUUUCCAGUUACACUCUUCAUUAAUAGAUCAUGUAUGUAAAUUUUUUUGAGACCCACCAGAACCAUCAUUGCCUUCAAGGUUGCAGAGGAGCUGUAAGGCCUGUUUUAAUAGCUGUUUUGACUUUUCGGACACAAGCAGAUUUCAGUAUGUAUACAUGAGAGAAAGUAGGAAACUGCUGGUCAGUUUCAGUUGUCAGAACAAAAGGGGCAGUUAAUACAUUAUGAGUGAGUUAACUCUUAAGAAAUUUUGCACAUCACGUCUGAUGAAGAUAGAAAGAAAUAUCUGUAAUACAAGGAAACUACAAAAAAACUGUUUUAAAAGGAAAAAGACAACCAUAAAAUGCUUUAGUUAGUGAGAUGCCUAAAAGAAAACUUAACUGCUUUUAAAACCUUCAACUGUAUGUCCUGUCCCUACUAAACAAUGGUUUAAUUCAGAAGCAGCUACUUAAUCAUAAAAAAACUGUGAGUUGCUUUCAUAGACUUUUUGUCAGGCGUUUGAUAUGAUUUUAAGAAACUAUGAAGUGUGUUACUAAGAAGUGGUUUAAAAGAAAAGAAUGUUUUUAGCAAUUUCAAACAUAAUGUAAAAUCUAGACUGUCGUAACAGGAACAUCUAACUUGCAGACAUGGUAGAUUUCUUUUGUUAAUGCAUCAGUCCGGUAUAUUGGAUUAUUUGCUCCAUCUGCUAAGAAUGGCACAGUGAAGAAAGAAUCCAAAGGAAAGCCUAUUUAAUGAUAUCACUACUACACAAACAAAACAAGAGAACAUGUUAACAUGGUUAUAUGAUAUCUUUGUAUAAAUAUAUCUUAGUAUAAAUAUGAUUUUGGCAUGGUAAAGGAAUGUCAAGGCGCUGGAGAUGAUAAAUUUAUUACAAAUCCUGAAACAGACUGGUAGACUAGCUGUCACCACCAGCAGUAACAUGAUAUUCAAAGCAUUUCAAGAUAUUUUCCAUAUAAUACAUUCAAUAAUAUUAUUUUAAGCAAUUAUCUUGUGUGGCUGAAAGGCAGAGGCAUAAGAGAUUGGUAAAGUUUAGAAUGGGUAUACAAGUUAAUAAAUGUUGAUUACAGGAUGAACUAUGAUUAAUAUUGGUAUUUGUACCGGUGUGUUUACAUAACUGUAUGGUGUCAAAUGGUUUAAUGCAUACCCAUACUUGUACCUGUGCAUGUUUGUGCUUAUACAUAAUUCUAUUGACUAUUUACAUAUCUGUGUAUAUAUGCAUAUGCAUGAUUGUAAUGGUUUGAUGCAUGUCUGUAUUUACACCAUGUGCAUUAUACAUGAUUCUAAUGGGUUGAUGUAUGUCUGUAUUUAUACCAUGUGUAUUAUACAUGCACCAGUAGAAGGCACUCAUGAUUAAAUUAAUGUAUUAUACAUUGUGUAUUAUCAAUUGGUACCCCCCUGGAAAUAAUGCCUUUCACUAAUACAGUGUAGGUUGGCUAUUCUGGGUUCAUCUCUCGUCUCGGGUAUGUUCAUGAGGCAUCUGCUUUCAGGGCUGACUGCCUUGCCAUGACAUAGCCUUAGUUGCUGGCUGCCUUGCCGUGAUAUAUAGCCUUGGUUGCUGGCUUGGCGUAAAACACCAGUUCCCCCCUGCCACCCAUGAAAUGGGGCCAGAAGCCUUAAUCAUUAAAAAAAUAUUGUAUCAUAUCUUAGCACCUUUAAGUCUAAAUUCAAAACGUGUCUAUUCAGAACAGUGACUUCACUAAAACCUUGUCCUGACCAUGAGCGUGCAUAACACGCGUCUGUACUUCCUUUGUGUAUGAGCAGGUGUCUGUUGUAGAAGUGAACAUGUAUGUUAAGCGUGAAUAUGGGUGUAUGGUUGUUGGCUAAUUAGUUGACUUCUGUAUAUCAUUACUUUGAAGUGCUCUGAACAGAUUAUUCAAAAAAGUUCUAUAUAAAUGUUAAAUUAUCACUGUGGUGAUCACAUCUGUCAAAAAUGUUGAAUGAUAUUUUGCAUGAGACGAUUGUAGUUUGACUUUUUUGGACAAACUCCACAAGUGGAUCCAAAUAUUUGAUGCGUAUAAAGGUACAUAUAGAAGCUUGUAAUUUUAAUGCUCUUUGUAUAAUUGCACUGUGUAAAGAGCUAUAAAGAUUUUAGAUAUGAAUAUUGAAUAAACACAUAUGGAAAAAA
rnacentral:lncRNA from 1 species